rnacentral:rRNA from 1 species
UCAAAUUUGAAAUCUGGCCUCUUCGGGGUCCGAGUUGUAAUUUGUAGAGGGUGUUUCGGGCGCGAUGCCGGUCUAAGUUCCUUGGAACAGGACGUCGUAGAGGGUGAGAAUCCCGUAUGCGACCGGCGAUCAAGCCCAUGUGAAGCCCCUUCGACGAGUCGAGUUGUUUGGGAAUGCAGCUCAAAAUGGGUGGUAAAUUUCAUCUAAAGCUAAAUAUUGGCCAGAGACCGAUAGCGGACAAGUAGAGUGAUCGAAAGAUGAAAAGCACUUUGGAAAGAGAGUCAAACAGUACGUGAAAUUGUUGAAAGGGAAGCGCUUGCAAUCAGACCGGUCCGGAGGCGAUCAGCCGCUGCUCGUCAGCGGUGCACUCGCCUGCGAUCCGGCCAGCAUCGGUUUGGGCGGCGGGAUAAAAGACCCGGGAAUGUAGCUUCUCUCGGGGAGUCUUAUAGCCCGGGUCGCAAUGCCGCCCGCCCGGACCGAGGACCGCGCUUCGGCUAGGAUGCUGGCGUAAUGGUUGCAAGCGACCCGUCUUGAAACACGGACCAAGGAGUCUAACAUCUAUGCGAGUGUUUGGGUGUCAAACCCAGGCGCGGAAUGAAAGUGAACGGAGGUGGGAACCCGUCAGACGGCGCACCAUCGACCGAUCCAGAUGUCUUCGGAUGGAUUUGAGUAUGAGCAUAGCUGUUGGGACCCGAAAGAUGGUGAACUAUGCCCGGAUAGGGUGAAGCCAGAGGAAACUCUGGUGGAGGCUCGCAGCGGUUCUGACGUGCAAAUCGAUCGUCAAAUCUAGGCAUAGGGGCGAAAGACCAAUCGAACCAUCUAGUAGCUGGUUCCUGUCGAAGUUUCCCUCAGGAUAGCAGUAACGUUUUCAGUUUUAUGAGGUAAAGCGAAUGAUUAGAGGCCUUGGGGCUGAAACAGCCUUAACCUAUUCUCAAACUUUAAAUAUGUAAGAAGUCCUUGUUACUCAGUUGAACGUGGACAUUUGAAUGCACCGUUACUAGUGGGCCAUUUUUGGUAAGCAGAACUGGCGAUGCGGGAUGAACCGAACGCGAGGUUAAGGUGCCGGAAUGCACGCUCAUCAGACACCACAAAAAGUGUCAAUUCAUCCAGACAGCCGGACGGUGGCCAUGGAAGUCGGAAUCCGCUAAGGAGUGUGUAACAACUCACCGGCCGA